rnacentral:rRNA from 1 species
ACGGGAGGCAGCAGUGAGGAAUAUUGGUCAAUGGGCGGAAGCCUGAACCAGCCAUGUCGCGUGCAGGACUACGGCCCUACGGGUCUUAAACUGCUUUUGCAAGGGGAUAAAGUGGGGCACGCGUGCCCCUUUGCAGGUACCUUGCGAAUAAGGAUCGGCUAACUCCGUGCCAGCAGCCGCGGUAAUACGGAGGAUCCGAGCGUUAUCCGGAUUUAUUGGGUUUAAAGGGUGCGCAGGCGGUCGAUUAAGUCAGUGGUCAAAUCACGGUGCUCAACGCCGUUCCGCCAUUGAUACUGGUUGACUUGAUUCCGGUCGAGGCAGGCGGAAUUCGUAGUGUAGCGGUGAAAUGCAUAGAUAUUACGAAGAACUCCGAUUGCGUAGGCAGCUUACCAGGCCGGCAAUGACGCUCAUGCACGAAAGUGCGGGGAUCGAACAGGAUUAGAUACCCUGGUA